rnacentral:rRNA from 1 species
UCGAUGCCAUUGUAGGUAGUCCAUGCAAGUCCUCGACUGACGUACGUCACGUGCAACUGGACCGGUCCAAUCUAUGUAGCAGCAGUCGGCAUAGUGAGCAAUCGCGAUAGCGUUAGUAGACACGCCACGUCAGGUAGAGACAUCGUGUCGUAAAGUAAGUUCUUGGGUAGAGAAAAUGACGUACUCACAGAGAGCCCCGCUAAUACGUGCCAGCAGCGCGUAUACGUAGAGGCAAGCGUGUCCGGAAUUAUUGGGGUAAAGGGGGGAGUCGGCCGAUUAAGUCAGAUGUUAAAUAACCCGGGUCAACUGUGGGGGUGCAUUUGAAAAUGGUUGGGUUGAGUGCAGGAGAGGAAAGUGGAAUUCUUAGUGUAGCGGUGAAAUGCGUAGAGAUUAGGGAGGAACACCAGUGGCGAAGGGGACUUUCCGGACUGUAACUGACGCUGAGGCACGAAAGGUUGGGGAGCAAACAGGAUUAGAUACCACGGUAGUCCACGCCGUAAACGAUGGAUACUAGGUGUAGGGGGUAUCGACCCCCCCUGUGCCGGAGUUAACGCAAUAAGUAUCCCGCCUGGGGAGUACGGCCGCAAGGUUGAAACUCAAAGGAAUUGACGGGGGCCCGCACAAGCAGCGGAGCAUGUGGUUUAAUUUGAAGCAACGCGAAGAACCUUACCAGGGCUUGACAUCCCUCUGAAAGGUGUAGAGAUACAUCCCUUCUUCGGAACAGAGGAGACAGGUGGUGCAUGGUUGUCGUCAGCUCGUGUCGUGAGAUGUUGGGUUAAGUCCCGCAACGAGCGCAACCCUUAUGAUUAGUUGCCAGCAGGUAAAGCUGGGCACUUUAAUGAGACUGCCGGGGAUAACUCGGAGGAAGGUGGGGAUGACGUCAAAUCAUCAUGCCCCUUAUGUCGUGGGCUACACACGUGCUACAAUGGCCUGAAACAAAGGGAAGCGAAGGCGUAAGCCGGAGCGGAACCCAUAAACCAGGCCCCAGUUCGGAUUGUGGGCUGCAACUCGCCCACAUGAAGUCGGAGUUGCUAGUAAUCGCGAAUCAGCAUGUCGCGGUGAAUGCGUUCCCGGGCCUUGUACACACCGCCCGUCACACCAUGGGAGUCGGGGGCACCCGAAGCCGGUGACCGAACCGCAAGGACGGAGCCGUCGAAGGUGAAAUUGAUGACUGGGGUGAAGUCGUAACAAGGUAGCCGU